UAUUAGGGCACCCCACGGUAUACUACAAAAUAUGUAUUGCGGAUUUUGUCCCGUAAUAGACUCACACGCGGAAAAUUUUGUCCCAUCAAAAUAUUCUCCCACCGCUUUUCCCAUAGAUUGGGUUUUGUCACUGCUAACGAAAACAACAUUGAACGCACGCUCUCGGUUGGUGCAAUGAAUACAUGGUUCGUUCAGCUGCUAACUGCCAUGCAAACAGACGUGUGAGUAUUUAUUUUUUUUCUUCGAAGAUUUGCUCGAAAGUCUAUCAACGAAUAAAAAACGCAAUAUCAAUUGAAAAAAAAAUCUAAGACGAGUGCAUGCACUUGGAAGUGGAACCAGAAAAUAUACCAGCAUUAAGAACAAGCUGCAAUUUGUACCGAAACUUAUUACAGUAGACGUUCGGUCAGUGCAAACGAUUUAACUGCAAUGCUUUUUAACUGCAAGUCCGGUAAGUGCAACAAAUUUGCAGUUAUCGCACCGCUAUCCGUCAAAACCGUGAGCCAAGUUAGCCCAAAUGAACAAUCGAAUGAAUUUUUCGUUCAUUUAACGUCAAUUGAUGGGUUGUUGACGCCCAUCUGACGUUGCAGUUAUCGAAUUUUGUUCGCUAACUGAAACGUAAACAUGUUGCAGUUAUCGAACGUCUACUGUACCUGGUACACCACGCAGCAAUUUCAUUCCAAAAAAGUGCACCGCGAAACAAAAGGUUUGCAAACCCCUGAAUCUAGGGUUUUUAAGGGUUAAGCAAGACAUUUCAAUGGCCGCUUGUGGGUUUAAUCGGUCUCUGAGUUAUAUUAAUCACUAGCUGUCCCGGCAAACUUUGUCUUGCCGUCUUGUGGUGGUUUGACAAUUGUUGAGCUCAAAAAAGCACCGCACUCUAGAUUGAUUUCAUUUCGGUUGUGUUGAUUUCCUUCCCAGCUCAUGAAAAAUCAGUACUUUAUCAAUUUUGUUACUUUUCUAGUUGAUUUUCGUAACUUUUUAUACAUAUAAACACAGCCACGUCGAAUACGAACCGAACCGUGCAAGAAUCAUGUUGAUCGGUUCACCCGUUCGUGAGUUUUGUUGCCUCAAAGGAACUUCAAACUCAUUUUUAUAUAUAUAGAUAGAUAGAUUUAGAGCAAUUAGGAAGAACGCAGAAAGGGCUGUGAUAUACGUCAAAUCAAAGUCAAAGCUAUCCGUGGUGAUUCUAUUCACAUGUAUUUAAUCCAACAGCUCUGAGAGCACCAAUAAUGUAUUAUUCAUUUAGCUACACGGAUCUUGUUUUGAUAUUGAUGUUUGCUGUUUUAUCUGUUACUGAAUAAAGAACUUUCUCUUCUACAUGAGUUUCAGAUUCAUUUAAACAUAUUAUAUUCCCCUUCAUGUUUCAACAUGGUGUUACAGAACGGGGCUUCCUUGGCGUCAUAUUUGUGUGAGAACAACUAUCAUCAUUAUGCGUUUGGUUCGUCUUGAUGAAAGUUUUGGAUAAGGGUAGAAGAAAUCUAAUAAAUAUCUAUUGCAAACAAGAAUAGGUGAGUGUUUCAGGUCAAGUAGGACAAAGGUUAAGAAUGUGUUAGCUACCGGUGGUGUGGAUAAAAAAUGAAAGCUUAUUUUUAAAAGUUUGAAUUUAAAUAAAUAUGAAGAAA